UAGUUUCGGCACAUUGUUAUGGUAAUU
rnacentral:piRNA from 1 species